rnacentral:rRNA from 1 species
ACGAACGCUGGCGGCGUGCCUAACACAUGCAAGUCGAACGAGUAAACUCCGAGCUUGCUCUGAAGAUUAAAGUGGCGCAUGGGUGAGUAACGCGUGGGUAAUCCGGCCUUGAAUUCGGGAUAACUCCGUGAAAACGGGGAGUGAUACCGGAUAUUUUCGUGAGAACUUUGGUUUUCGGGAUGAAAGGUGACCUCUUCAUGAAAGUUGCCGUUCAGGGAAGGGCUCGCGUACCAUUAGCUUGUUGGUAGGGUAAUGGCCUACCAAGGCGACGAUGGUUAGCUGGUCUGAGAGGAUGAUCAGCCACACUGGAACUGAAACACGGUCCAGACUCCUACGGGAGGCAGCAGUGAGGAAUUUUGCGCAAUGGGGGAAACCCUGACGCAGCAACGCCGCGUGAGUGAAGAAGGCCUUCGGGUCGUAAAGCUCUGUCAAGUGGGAAAAAAUGUCCCAGGUUAAUAGCCAGGGAAAUUGAUGGUACCACUGGAGGAAGCACCGGCUAACUCCGUGCCAGCAGCCGCGGUAAUACGGAGGGUGCAAGCGUUGUUCGGAAUUACUGGGCGUAAAGAGCGUGUAGGCGGUUUGGUAAGUCAGGCGUGAAAGUCCUGGGCUUAACCCAGGAAGUGCGUUUGAAACUGCCAUGCUUGAGUAUGGGAGAGGAGAGUGGAAUUCCCAGUGUAGAGGUGAAAUUCGUAGAUAUUGGGAGGAACACCCGUGGCGAAGGCGACUCUCUGGACCAAUACUGGCGCUGAGACGCGAAAGCGUGGGGAGCAAACAGGAUUUGAUACCCUGGUAGUC